GGGUUCAGUUCGGUAGCCGAACUGGAGGUCUCUGGAUGGUCGGGCCGCCAUUC
rnacentral:ncRNA from 1 species